AAGAACAUCCAGGUUAUUUACUCUUGAGCACGGCUGGAUUUGGGAACUGUAUUUUACUUAAAGACAGCUUACCCCUCGUCCCAUUUUAUCACACAUUUAGCUGCUGUACACAUACGGCGCUGAAGCACAGACUUUCAAUCUGGAUUUAACCCAUCUGUGACUUAGGAACAUUAGUCAAAUCUUAUUGCCCUGAACUCAGAGCUCAGCAUGGCAUUCCAUAAAAUAACACCCUCCUUCUGCAGCGAUGCUCAAUCCUUUGCCCUAACUAAAGUCACCCCUUCUCUACCUGAUCUUUACCUAAAUCC
rnacentral:lncRNA from 1 species